GUAAGCGCGCGCAGGCGGCUAUUUAAGUUGGAUGUGAAAGCCUAGGAAGCCGUAGAACUGCAUCCAAAACUAUUUAGCUAGAGUGUGGGAGAGGAAGAUGGAAUUAGUUGUGUAGGGGUAAAAUCCGUAGAGAUAACUAGGAAUACCAAAAGCGAAGGCAAUCUUCUGGAACACUACUGACGCUGAGGCGCGAAAGCGUGGGGAGCAAACAGGAUUAGAUACCCUGGUAGUCCACGCAGUAAACGAUGAAUGUUAGUCGUCGGGUAGCUAGUCUAUUCGGUGAUGCAGCUAACGCAUUAAACAUUCCGCCUGGGGAGUACGGUCGCAAGAUUAAAACUCAAAGGAAUAGACGGGGACCCGCACAAGUGGUGGAGCAUGUGGUUUAAUUCGAAGAUACGCGAAGAACCUUACCUAGCCUUGACAUAUAUUAGAACUCCGCAGAGAUGCAGAGGUGCCUUCGGGAGCUUUUAUACAGGUGCUGCACGGCUGUCGUCAGCUCGUGUCGUGAGAUGUUGGGUUAAGUCCCGCAACGAGCGCAACCCUCGUCACUAGUUACUAACGGUUCGGCCGAGGACUCUAGUGAGACUGCCUUCGUAAGGAGGAGGAAGGUGAGGACGACGUCAAGUCAUCAUGGCCCUUACGGCUAGGGCAACACACGUGCUACAAUGGUUGGGACAAUGAGACGCAAUACCGCGAGGUGGAGCAAAUCUAUAGACCCAAUCUCAGUUCGGAUUGUUCUCUGCAACUCGAGAACAUGAAGCUGGAAUCACUAGUAAUCGUAGAUCAGCCAUGCUACGGUGAAUACGUU
rnacentral:rRNA from 1 species